CCUACGGGAGGCAGCAGUGGGGAAUCUUGCGCAAUGGGCGAAAGCCUGACGCAGCAACGCCGCGUGCGGGAUGAAGGCCCUCGGGUUGUAAACCGCUUUCAGCAGGGACGAAAAUGACGGUACCUGCAGAAGAAGCCCCGGCUAACUACGUGCCAGCAGCCGCGGUAAUACGUAGGGGGCAAGCGUUGUCCGGAUUUAUUGGGCGUAAAGAGCUCGUAGGCGGUUCCGUAAGUCGAGUGUGAAAAAUCUGGGCUCAACCCAGUGGAGCACUCGAUACUGCGGUGACUAGAGUACGGUAGAGGAGUGUGGAAUUCCUGGUGUAGCGGUGAAAUGCGCAGAUAUCAGGAGGAACACCAACGGCGAAGGCAGCACCCUGGGCCGGUACUGACGCUGAGGAGCGAAAGCGUGGGGAGCAAACAGGAUUAGAUACCCUGGUAGUCCACGCCGUAAACGUUGGGCACUAGGUGUGGGAAGGAAUCAACCCUUUCCGUGCCGUAGCUAACGCAUUAAGUGCCCCGCCUGGGGAGUACGGCCGCAAGGCUAAAACUCAAAGGAAUUGACGG
rnacentral:rRNA from 1 species